rnacentral:sRNA from 1 species
GUCACCGCGUAUCCGAUCGGGCUUUGCGGUGGCAUAUUUUUUAAUCCAGUAUAGGAGUAUACAGAGUGGCCCGUAUAGCCGGCAUCAACGUACCGGAU